AACGAACGCUGGCGGCAGGCUUAACACAUGCAAGUCGAGCGCGUAGCAAUACGAGCGGCAGACGGGUGAGUAACGCGUGGGAAUCUACCGAGCCCUAAGGAAUAGCUCCGGGAAACUGGAAUUAAUACCUUAUACGCCCUUUGGGGGAAAGAUUUAUCGGGGUUUGAUGAGCCCGCGUUGGAUUAGCUAGUUGGUGGGGUAAAGGCCUACCAAGGCGACGAUCCAUAGCUGGUCUGAGAGGAUGAUCAGCCACAUUGGGACUGAGACACGGCCCAAACUCCUACGGGGGGCAGCAGUGGGGAAUAUUGGACAAUGGGGGCAACCCUGAUCCAGCCAUGCCGCGUGAGUGAUGAAGGCCUUAGGGUUGUAAAGCUCUUUCACCGGUGAAGAUAAUGACGGUAACCGGAGAAGAAGCCCCGGCUAACUUCGUGCCAGCCGCCGCAGUAAUAC
rnacentral:rRNA from 1 species